UUCUGGACAAUGCUUGUCACUGGGGGGUUACGACGGACCGACUCUUAAAUCGGUCACCUUUACCACCCUCGGGAAGGUCUGAGACUAAGGUCUGCGAAUAGCACUUCCUAGACGGAAGCGCUCUGAGAAGGGCGGCGGCGGACUAGAAACUACCCUCGCAGCGGACCAAACGGCAGGCGAUGGAGUGAAUUGGUCUUCGGACCAACUCCGAGGAUGGUCGGUCUGUCUGUUAGAUGUGGAAACGCUGCGACAGCUUCGCAGCACAAUUGACAAGUGGCGUCUCUGUGCGCCAUAACUCAAUUCAGACUAUUCUGUUCAGAA
rnacentral:RNase_P_RNA from 1 species